GCGGCCUCACCGUUCAUCGCUUUGCUGACGUAUGGAAAGUGUGUAGAAAUGGAAAGUAAAUAGAAGCCAGAGUGGGAAAUCGAAACUAGCUGCUGUGAAGUCACUGCUCGAGGCAGAGGACAAGAGCCAGGCGGAGGACAGUCGGAGGGAUAGAGGAAGGAAAACAAAAAACAGAAUUACCUGGAAAAACUCAGCAGGUCUGGCAGCAUCGGCGGAGAAGAAAAGAGUUUACGUUUCGAGUCCUUAUGACCCUUCGACAGAACUAGAGCAGAACUGAUAGGGGAAGGGUUGUGGUCUCUGACCGACAGCUGCCAUGGGUUGCUGCUGGAGCGACCUGUUUGGAGAUCCUUCCUCGGCCACCCCCCAGUCUAUUGUUUAUUCUGUAGGUCGGUCCCAUCCUCCCGGCUCAGCGCAUGGUCAUUACAGGAACGUCGCUAGUGAGGAGGAGAGUGAAGAGGAGGAGGAGGAGGAGGAGGAGGGCAGCGGCUACGGUCAUGUAGAGGAGAGCAGCAAAGAUGACGAGCGCCAGUUCUUCCUGACUUUCCUCACGGUGCUGGACCGCCGCCAGCCCUACCACGGGACGCUGCAGCGCUGGAAGAACGAGGUACAUUGGGCGGGGGAGGAGGGCAGCCACAUCCUGAGGUGGGACUACAUCUGGCGUGAGGACGGCGUCGGCUACCUCAGGACCCUCGACCGGGUGUCGCAGUUGGCGGAGCUGAACCAGUUCACCACGGCGGACUUGGGCCGGCUGGUGUUUUUGGCGAAGAGGGUGGUGAAACAGAGGAAGGGGGAAUAUUAUCAUGCCAGGAGCCUGGGCAGAGCCAACUGGAGGCACGAAAAGGUGUUGAAAGGCUGGACUGAGUUGUUGGAUGUCCUUGAAGGUUUAAUUAAUUGAGACAGAGAGGCGUUAGCGUGAUGAAACUUCCAGCGGUGGGGACAACCCGCCCAGCCCCCAGCCUCACCAAGAUCCUCUACAGGGGUGUUUCUAAAGUCCUCGCGAAGCGCUUCCGCAUACCAAGGGGUGACAGAGGAUCUGUCACUCAUUUUAAAUCAGAGACUGAUAGAUUUCUUUGUCGACCAAAGGUCUUAAGGGACAUGAGGGGAGGGGGCGAAUGUGAACAUGUAGGUCGCAGUGCAGAGCUGUCCAUGACCAAGUGUUGAAGACUGGCACAUUCCAAGGUCCAGGACUGCAUGCUGAGGGACGCAUUAAAGCUUGGGGUAGCUGCCACAGAGGCCCAAUGAGGAAAGGUCACUGUCUAAGAUCUUUUAGUCAUAGUGUACCAAGGGGCUGGGAAUUGUAUAGGCCCCUCGGGCUCUAUGACUCACAUUGAAUGUAUGCAGUGAAUACUACAUGUAUCACAAUCAUAUUCAAGCACCUCAGAGUGUAACAUAACCUAAAACAAAAACAGAAUUACCUGGAAAAACUCAGCAGGUCUGGCAGCAUCGGCGGAGAAGAAAAGAUUUGACGUUUCGAGUCCUCGUGACCCUUCAACAGAACUAUGUAGAUAAUUUGAAUAUCAUUGCACCUUCUGUGAUGAGCGUUUUGAAAUGUUUUGUGAUGUUCUUUUGGAAAUUUUAUGAAUAAAGUACGUUGUUCGCAAAAAAAAAUGUCAAACUUGCAGCCUGAGGGGUUUUACCUGGUUUCCAGCCCCCUGGGGUGUUCUAUGGCUGUACUAUGGCAGUUUUGCUAGUGUUUAAUUACAGUGAGACUACAGAAUUACCUUUAUACUCUCAGCUGUACAUUCUCUUAAGGAACACGGUCCAUUAAUUACUUGCCAUUCAACUUGCUAGGUAACACGUGUAAUUGUUCCUAAUAAUUAAUUGUUUGUAUUCUUGGUGUUGGGAUUUUGUAGUCAAUAAAUAGUUUCUCAUGCUC